GAUUUACGCAAUCGAAUACCGCCGGAAGUAGAACAUUUAUGUCGACACCGGUUUCGUAUUUCACGUGAAAUCGGCCGAAAACUGAGAGGUUAUCAACAAAUUAUAAAUUUACGGGUACCAUGAGGAUUUUUCAUGCAUUUAAACGACAGAAGUACAAGCGAACAGAUGACACAUUAAAGUGGCUGCAGAAGCUUGAAAAGUUAGAUAGAGCAGGGACAGUCAAAACUGUGGGAUAAUACUUCUAUGUAAUUUCUUUUUAAAGGCAAUUUAUACAGGAUGGAAGGGGUGUCCAACAUGUUUAGUCAGGUUGACAGAAGUGAAAGAUGGUCUGAUGGUACAAUGAUGUACAAAUGAUACUCUUUAACAAGUUUAACAUGUCAAAGUGUAAAAUGUUCUGUGGAUUCAUAUGAUGAGAAUGCCAAUGUUGAUCUGUAUGACUUAAUUAAACACAGAUAUUGAUACAUUCAGAUAUAUACCUGUGAAAUCUUCAGUGUCACCGUUCAGCUAUUGUUCAAGAUCAGUGUCUGCAGCUUGCACAGUUUAGUAUAGAGGAGCCUUCUGAAUCAAUUUUGUUGCAUAUUUGCUGUUAUUGUAGGACGCACAUGUAGAGAGCAACAAGUCCUGUCCAACUGUGCAUAUAAAUGUGAUUCAGAAAUUUUGAGAAUAUGUAAACAUUACACUGUUAUAAUUUUCAAAAUACUGUGUCUUGUAGUGUAUCAGUUCUGUUUUGUCUCAGUUUAUAGCACAGUGUGUUCACAAAUCAAACUUAAGAUCAUAAUUAUCAGUAUUAUUAAAAUCAUUAAUUAUUUGUAUGGUGACAAAAUUUAAUUUCAUGCAAUACCACAGUGAAACGUUUGAUAAUUUUUUUUUUAAGUUGCAAGUUUAAAGUUGGCAUAAAUUGUUUUUCUCCUUCAUAAAUCUAAAAAGUGAUUGGUCAUUAUAUUUGCAAUAUCAUUUUAGUGUGACAAAGAUUAUAUUGAACUGAAACGCUAAUGUAAAUUUUUUAACUAUUCAAUGCAUUUUCUUAAGUCUUAAAACAUUUGUUUAUCGUACAUGUCAGGACCAAUAACUCCUCCUGAUUUUAUAAAGUGUUGUAUGUAAGGUUUUAUCUCGGAAUUAUGUCUCGUCUAAAGGUGGGGAGAGGUAUUGUUUAUGCCUUCUCGUCUGUCCGCAUUAAGCCUGUCUGACUUUAAGAGGACAAGUUGCUGGCCAGAUUUUGAUAAAACUUCACAGGAAUGAUCAGUACCAAGCAUAGUGUUGUGCAUAUCGAUUGCAUGUUUCGUUUCGAUGCACUAAAUUGCAGCCAGAGCUAAAAGUAGAAAAAUCUUAUCAGCUUUCACAGGUCAAAACUACUUAACAGAUUUUGAUGAAACUGGACAGGAGUGAUCAGUACCAAGUAUAUUUUUGCAUAUCACCGACACUUUCCAUUUUGCUAAUUUGCUGCACAAAAUAGCCGCCAUAGCAUAAAGGUAUACAUUGGUGGGAGACAUGUUUUGUCAUAAAAAUACCUAAAACACCUUCCACUUUGUUAAAGAAAAUUGUAUUAAACUUCUUACAAUUGCAAACUCUAAUAAUUUGACAUUAAAUGCACUAGUUACAUAAUUGCAUUUGGCUUUUUUCGUAAUUAUUGCCCUUUUCUUACCAUAGCAAUAUUUUGUGUAACAUGUUACCUCAUUAAGCAUCAUAAGAUCAGAAAGUUCUAUGACUCAGAAAUGUUGGCCCUUUUGUACUUGUCAUGAGUAUGUUUUCAGUAUUUUAUAUUGUCAUUACUUUUUGUUGUGCGAGUUUACGGAAAUGAAGACUUAGUUGUCCAAAUGGUGUGCCUGUGCCUGUCCUGAUUUGUUUGUCUGGACAAUAUAUUAUUGAUUAGUCUUCACGAAACUACCCUGUCAACUUUGAUAGUGGCAUGGUUACUUUAAAAGUGAUGUCACCACUGUACUAGUCAAACGUUUUGUAUUUCAGGUUUUAUAUCACAUUACAGGCUACUGGUCUUUAGCAGCCUUCAUAAAACUUAUAAAAAACUCAUAAAAGUUUCCAAAAAAGUUGUAUUUUGAUUUGAACUGGCAUUAUUCAAACAUUAAGCAGUAGUACUAUAAGGCAACAUUUGACCUCUUUUCUAGUACUUUUUGAUUUUCUCUGUUACUAUGAAGUUGCCUUUUCCUAGAAAUUGGUUGGCUUAUUUUUUAUGAUCUUAUGUUUUUAAUGAAUUGUAGCUAUAUGUUCUUUUUCUCAUGAAAAUGUCCAUUUUUAUAUAAUUCAUAUUUUUUACUGUCAACAAAGUGCAAUACCACAUACUUAUCACUUCCAUUAACAUACUUGUACUAUUUUCAUAAAACAUUAUAUAAAUCAUUAUAUUUCAUAUAAACAGAAUUAAAUAAAUAUUUAAGAACA